rnacentral:rRNA from 1 species
AGUCACUGACAUUAGAUACCCGCGUAGUCCAGGGUGUAAACGCUGCAGACUUGGUGUUGGAAGUCCUUUGGGGGCAUUCAGUGCCGGAGAGAAGUUGUUAAGUCUGCUACUUGGGGAGUACGUCCGCAAGGAUGAAACUUAAAGGAAUUGGCGGGGAGCACCACAACGGGUGGAGCCUGCGGUUUAAUUGGACUCAACGCCGGAAAUCUCACCGGAUAGGACAGACAUAUGAUAGUCGGGCUGAAGACUCUACUUGAUGAUCUG